AAACUUUCAACAACGGAUCUCUUGGUUCUGGCAUCGAUGAAGAACGCAGCGAAAUGCGAUAAGUAAUGUGAAUUGCAGAAUUCAGUGAACCAUCGAAUCUUUGAACGCACAUUGCGCCCGCCAGUAUUCUGGCGGGCAUGCCUGUCCGAGCGUCAUU
rnacentral:rRNA from 1 species